rnacentral:rRNA from 1 species
UACGUAGGUGGCAAGCGUUGUCCGGAUUUACUGGGCGUAAAGAGCGCGCAGGCGGUCAGAUAAGUCGAAUGUGAAAGCCCCCGGCUCAACUGGGGAGGGUCAUUCGAUACUGUUCGACUCGAAGGCAGGAGAGGGAAGCGGAAUUCCCGGUGUAGUGGUGAAAUGCGUAGAUAUUGGGAAGAACACCGGUGGCGAAGGCGGCCAUCUGGACCGGAACUGACGCUGAGGAGCGAAAGUGUGGGGAGCGAACAGG